GACGAACCGAGCGACCGUUGUUCGGAAUCACUGGGCUUAAAGGGCGCGUAGGCGGGCUGUCAAGUCUGGGGUGAAAUCCCGCGGCUCAACCGUGGAACUGCCUCAGAUACUGACGGUCUCGAGGGAGGUAGGGGCGAGCGGAACUGAUGGUGGAGCGGUGAAAUGCGUUGAUAUCAUCAGGAACUCCGGUGGCGAAGGCGGCUCGCUGGACCUUUUCUGACGCUGAGGCGCGAAAGCUAGGGGAGCAAACGGG
rnacentral:rRNA from 1 species